GGAGGUAAAAGUCGUAACAAGGUUUCCGUAGGUGAACCUGCGGAAGGAUCAUUCAUAAUAAGUGUUUUAUGGCACUUUUUUAAAUCCAUAUCCACCUUGUGUGCAAUGUCAGGGUUGGUCUCUUUUGAUCAGCCCCGAACAUCAACUAUUAUCUCAACUCUUUGUCUGAAGAAUAUUAUGAAUAAAACAAUUCAAAAUACAACUUUCAACAACGGAUCUCUUGGCUCUC
rnacentral:misc_RNA from 1 species